UACGUAGGGCGCAAGCGUUGUCCGGAUUUAUUGGGCGUAAAGAGCUCGUAGGCGGUCUGUCGCGUCGGAUGUGAAAACCCGGAACUCAACUCCGGGCCUGCAUUCGAUACGGGCAGACUUGAGUACUGCAGGGGAGACUGGAAUUCCUGGUGUAGCGGUGAAAUGCGCAGAUAUCGGGAAGAACACCCGUGGCGAAGGCGGCUCUCUGGGACGGUACUGACGCUGAGACGCGAAAGCGUGGGGAGCGAACAGG
rnacentral:rRNA from 1 species